UUGGGCCUUAGGGUUUGUGUAAUAAUAAUUUAUGACCGCCUCUACAACACAACACAACACAACACAACGUGUUUUGUUGACAAUCACAAUUCAUUCAUUCAUUCACAAUCACAUUAACAUUCACAAUCGCACAAAACUGAGGUUCAGCUGCUUCAUCGCUUCUUCCAUUUCUCAAACCAAACUAGCAUGUUCUCUUCCCUCCAAGGUUCCCUCUCUUUCUCUUCUUCCUCUAUUUUCAUUUCGUUUUUUCUUUUCCGUUUUGGGUAAUAAUUUUGAUAUUUUUUCAAUAUUUUCUAUACUAUUCAAUAUGGGUUGCUUCGUUUAUUUG
rnacentral:lncRNA from 1 species